GCUUUUUCAGAAGGAAACUGCAUAUGAUCCACUUUUGCAAUUCUGACAGUAACUAGUUUCAUUUGUCCAUUUUCUAAGUUUUCAUGGUCAAAGUUUAAGCUGAAAACAUAACACUCAUUAUUCAAAAAAGAUAAAUAGAGCAUUUAAGUGCCCAACAUGUAAGUACUGCAUUAAAGUGAUAUAUUUGUGUUCCCUUAUUUAGAGCAAUGCUAAAAUCUUAUAUCAAUGUCAUCUGCAUAGCCUCAGAAUCAUUAGUUGCAACUUUUGGUGACGAUUCACAUAGAUAGUCUAAAUAAAAGGAGAUGUCCUUAGUCAUGCAAUAUUAGAGCUGAGGCUGUGGGAAACCCAACCUGUGCCUCCCAUCUCACAGACGAGGACACUGGUGCCCACAAAGUGAUUUUCCCCAUGCAGAAGCAGGUUUUCUGGUUCUUGGCUCAGUGAUUUCUCCAUCAUUAGCAUAAUCUAGGCUCCAUUUACAAAAUCAUGGCAACAUUUCUCAAAUUCUGAGAAAGAGCUAACCACCAGCUGUGUUAACAUUUGUAUACUGAGAAAGCUGAGGUUUCCAAGCAUCAGCUCCAAGCAAUGCCCACUCAGGGACCAUCACAUCCUGACCACUAUGUGGCCCCUGAAUCCACAGCGGCACCCGGCUCAGAUUCCUCUAUGAAAUUCAUGAAUGCCUUCUUCAGUGCUGGCUGUUUUUCUCUCUAAGGAGCCUCUUGUGCUUGAAAGAGCGAUUGGGAAUGUGUAGGCCUCAGUAAGAGUCAUGUAUGAGAAUUUCCACGUGGAGGGGAGAUUAUAUAUGGAGUGGGGAGCGGAUCUGGCCUCCUGGUUAAACCGCAAACCAUGUCAAUCACCUGCGGCUUCCACUUGCCACCACGUCUGACUCGACAUCUCAAUGCAACUCUCCCUCCAGCUUGAGUGAACUAAACAUGAGGACGCUAUCAAUCAAAGACAAAGAGACAGAAGAAGAGACCCACUUUGGAUGAUAUUGGCAAAUAUUCUAGAAACUUCCCAAGAACUUCCCCCUCUAGACCCUUCAAGCCUGAUUUACGACCAACAUACUGGUGAGUUUCAACCAAGAGAUAUUACAAGGGCUUCCCAAUCUAUACACUGUUUUCUCACUCAGUAGCUACAACCAUGAGGGUGUGCUCAGAAAGCUCUGCUGUUAAAAGGCCCUCCUACUCAAAAAGGUCGAGAACUU
rnacentral:lncRNA from 1 species